GGGUGCGAUCAUACCAGCACUAAUGCACCGGAUCCCAUCAGAACUCCGUAGUUAAGCGUGCUUGGGCGAGAGUAGUACUAGGAUGGGUGACCUCCUGGGAAGUCCUCGUGUUGCACCCCCCU
rnacentral:rRNA from 1 species